UGUAAUGCUGGGAUCUGUGUUGGGCAGGAGUUUCUCUCUAAGGAGACCCACGCAAAACCCCACUGGAUUGGACUCACUGACCUGGGCACUGAAGGCCGCUGGCGCUAGGUGGACGGCUCAGAAUACAGAGAAGAAUCCAGCAGGGGGUUCUGGGAGCACCCUCAGCCUGACAACUGGCACCAGGGGAUCGGCGGCAGAGAAGACUGUGUUGAGAUCCGCACAGAGAUGCAGACUUUGUGGAAUGAUGCCAACUGCUCUCUGCCUGCGCGGUGGAUCUGUAAGCAGGCCCGUGGGCAGGCCGGGCUGUGACAUGCAGGGCCAGUGUGAGAGUUUCACCCCCCUCCCCUUUGCUUUAUGAAAUUGACUUAUGGGCACAAACAUGCAUAAGCCGAAGAUGCUUUGGACAAAUCCCUGAUGUCACCCAUCAGCCUUAACGCCACAAGCUGCUGGUGCCAUGUGUCUGAUUGGCGUGUGCACCAUUCUUGGGGGUAAAGUGAGAGAUAUGGAGUAGGGGAAGGGUUAGGGUUUAACUAUGCAAAUGAAAGCCAUGUGGGCAUUUCCCUCCAUGUCUGGGUGAUCACCUGUAAACAGCCUCUUUUGUCCUGUGAGUCUGAGCAGCGGUUGGUUUUAGGAAGUCACAUGACCACCCCAAGUGCUAGGGUCUGACCAGGUAAUUGUCCAUAGGAGGGGGAAUGUCAAAACAGAAUCCCCGCCUCAAAAGGAGGCUACUCAGGGAUGUUUUCAGGCUUUUGUCUUUGCCUGGCACGUCACUGCCAGGAGAAUGAACCAGAGACCCCAGGGAAAGGGCGUUCUCUGGCUUGGAGGCUUGGCUGAAAGAAGAACAGUUUCAGGGUAAGUUUGUGCUGAGCUUUGAGUGACAGAACUCGCUCUGCAUUUCCUGUUAGUUUCAAUCUGUAAUCGACUUUGCUCGGCCUGUUUUCACCGGCAACCACUUCGCUGCUGCUGUUUGUACUGAAUAAAAUCACUUGGGUUCA